GUGGUGGUGUGGGUUGGCGCGGCGGGGGUGGUGAUGAAAGCAGCACACCAGGAUUCUCCAAUUUCUUUUCAGCAACAAUUGAGUUGUUGGUUUUUCGAGCAGAAACAUGAUGAUCAGCUUCUUUGUCAUCAGAACUGCUACUAGUACUAGUACUCUCUGUAUCACUAUCACUUCCAGAACUCCUGAAAAAAAUUAAAAAAUCAGCAUAAAUAUAUAACGACAAUAAUGAGCAUGCCAG
rnacentral:misc_RNA from 1 species